UGACUACCAUCCACUGGGGUGCUAUUUUGU
rnacentral:piRNA from 1 species